rnacentral:rRNA from 1 species
UACAGAGGUCCCAAGCGUUGUUCGGAAUCACUGGGCGUAAAGGGCGCGUAGGUGGCCUGAUAAGGGUGUGGUGAAAGUCCGGGGCUCAACCCCGGAUCUGCCGUGCCGACUGUUGGGCUGGAGUACUGUAGGGGCAGGCGGAAUUCCGGGUGUAGCGGUGGAAUGCGUAGAGAUCCGGAGGAAGACCGGUGGCGAAGGCGGCCUGCUGGGCAGUUACUGACACUGAGGCGCGACAGCGUGGGGAGCAAACAGG